GUGGAUUAGAUACCUGGUAGUCCACGCCGUAAACGAUGCUAACUCGUUUUUGGAUUUUCGGAUUCAGAGACCAAGCGAAAGUGAUAAGUUAGCCACCUGGGGAGUACGUCCGCAAGGAUGAAACUCAAAGGAAUUGACGGGGGCCCGCACAAGCGGUGGAUUAUGUGGUUUAAUUCGAUGAUACGCGAGGAACCUUACCAAGACUUAAAUGGGAAUUGACAGAUUUAGAAAUAGAUCCUUCUUCGGACAAUUUUCAAGGUGCUGCAUGGCUGUCGACAACU
rnacentral:rRNA from 1 species